CCUCCUGCGAGCUACAGCUGUCUGUAUGUCUGCUACAGGAGUUUAUGGAUUAAUAUCGGGAUCGUUUUACAUCUACACAUUAAAUAUGAGCAUCGGGACGUCAACAAAGAACAGAAUACUUGAGAUCUGAGCACCAUUGGACAGUAAGGACUAUGGAAGAGAAGAUGUGAUGGCUUUGUGUGGAAAGCUGCUGACGCCAGCCUGUGUCCCUCAUCAGUCUCUCCAGGCAGCACCCAGCUAUUCUUCCAUCUUGCAGAUGAAAAUACUUUGAUACACCUGGACACAGCAGGAACCUACGCCAGAAUCCUGUUAGUGGACUUCAGCUCUGCCUUCAACACAAUCCAUCAGGACCAGAACCUCUCUCCAUCAGGACCAACACCUCUCUCCAUCAGGACCAACACCUCUCUCCAUCAGGAUCAGAACCUCUCUCCAUCAGGACCAACACCUCUCUCUAUCAGGACCAGAACCUCUCUCCAUCAGGACCAGAACCUCUCGCCACCUCAACAAGGCCCCCCCCCACUGACACUUUACCUCAGCCGCAACGCAGACUAUGCAUUAUAUAAUGGAGAUCACAGGAUGGUAAAUAAUGCAAUGUUUGAAUAUUGCUUACUGCACAUAUUUUAUAUUCUAUAAUUUAUUGCAUUCUAUUUCGAUGUAAGUUACUGCUUUAUUUUAUUUCUAUCUUACUAUAUUUUUAUUACAGUGUUCUUAAUAUAGUUCGCUAU